rnacentral:pre_miRNA from 1 species
UAAUAAAAAUUUCAUCCAUUUGUACUAUUAAAGACUGGUGUGAAUAACAAAAUAACUAUAGACAAAAACAUUUGACAUGCUAUAUGUAUUUCAUGGUAGCAUACGAGAUCAAUUUUUAAUGGUAGAAAUAAAUUAAAUUUGUAACA